rnacentral:rRNA from 1 species
CAAUAGUGUAUAUUAAAGUUGUUGCAGUUAAAAAGCUCGUAGUUGGAUUUCGGAGCGGGCCAGUUGGUCCGCCGCAAGGUGUGUUACUGACUGGUCUGUUCUUCUUCGCAAAGACUGCGUGUGCUCUUCGCUGAGUGUGCGUAGGAUUUACGACGUUUACUUUGAAAAAAUUAGAGUGUUCAAAGCAGGCUGUCGCUUGAAUACAUUAGCAUGGAAUAAUGAGAUAGGACUUUGGUGGUCUAUUUUGUUGGUUUGCACGCCGAAGUAAUGAUUAAUAGGGGCGGUUGGGGGUAUUCGUAUUCAAUUGUCAGAGGUGAAAUUCUUGGAUUUAUGGAAGACGAACUACUGCGAAAGCAUUUACCAAGGAUGUUUUCAUUAA